rnacentral:rRNA from 1 species
UACAGAGGUCUCAAGCGUUGUUCGGAUUCAUUGGGCGUAAAGGGUGCGUAGGCGGCGCGGUAAGUCGGAUGUGAAAUCUCGGAGCUUAACUCCGAAACUGCAUUCGAUACUGCCGUGCUUGAGGACUGGAGAGGAGACUGGAAUUUACGGUGUAGCGGUGGAAAUGCGUAGAUAAUCGUAAGGAAGACCAGUGGCGAAGGCGGGUCUCUGGACAGUUCCUGACGUGAGGCACGAAGGCCAGGGGAGCAAACGGG